AGGAAAUCCACAAGGUGAGACCUAUGAUUGCCUCAGUUCUGUGCCUUUAUGCAAUUUCCUGAGUGCAACACAGGAAGCUGGAAUCCAAUCAGAUACACUGGUUCCUCUGGGCUAAAGAAGCAGAGAUCGGAGUCCAGAGAAUGUGGCAGAAUCUGAAGAGAAAUUCAUCAAAAAGGGAGACUCCAGAAGUCAUGUGGGCUUCCAGUGGGUCUUCGGCUGCAGGAGGCCUUGACAACUACGGGGGGAGAGUUCUGAGAAAAUGAAGCAAUGAAGAAAAAGGACUUCCAGGAAUCUGGACAGAGGUCUGUGACACUGAAAAGAGACGAGCAUGUAGGCCCAGCUGGGGCUCUACAGGGGACUCUGGGCAGCCAAAAGUUACAGGUGACUGGGAAUGUGAAAAAAGAGGCCACACGUUUGACAAAGGAAUACAGAAAGAAGGGAAGAAAAUCGUCCAGACCAGUCUGGACCAGACCUGAAAAUCGCUGCCAUGACCUUGUUACUCAGAGCACUUUCCACACACUUACACUAAGGAGUCAAAUCAUCCCCUUCACUCCAUUCUCCUCUACAAGUAAGCUCUGUCUUCAGGAUUAUUUACAUGACCAUCCCUUCUUCGCAAGGACAAGAUGUCUAUGAAUUACACUGGAGUCAAAUUGGCCUCGUGGAAACAAACUGCCCUUUUUCAGACAAGGGUCCAUGGAGCUUAUGAAGAGGGCAGAAAAAGCCUUAGGUUCUCUUCCAAAUGCUCAUGGUUCUGGGGGCAGGACCCGCUCAGGUUGUUUCCUCUAAGGCCCAGCCUUCCACGCUCGCUCCUGACCAGUAAGAUUCAGUAAUCCUCCUCUUGCCGUGCUCCACCACCUGUUUGGGAAGCCAGGGAAACACUGAUGACAUGACUUUAAAGAACGCAAUUUUAUUUUUGAAUUUUUUCCAUCAGGAAAUGGACUGUUGUCAACUUACGUCUUUGCUUUUUAUUGGUCAUUUUCAAUGAGUUUGUCUCUGCAUCCGUUUUCAUAUGACCUGUUGGUUCUCUGUAGCACUGGAUCUUCUGUUGGUAAAGGUAAUUAGGUAGAUGAGAUUAUUACUAUUUCAGCAGGGAAAAUAAAAGGACUUAAGCAAACCUGUUUGAGGGUAGUGCUUAAACUGGAGAAAAUUCUCUAGAUUAAAACAACAGAAGGGGAGGAAAUGAAAACCAAUUGGGGGGCUCAGAAUUGGAUCAAGAGCAGAGGAGUCUGACUCAGUGUGAAGGAAGGAAGAAGUGUAGACUGAUCUGUGCGGGUCCAUUUCUCCCAAUGAUGGCAGCUGGUAAAGGCUGCAGCCUAGCACAUUCAAAUAUUGAAUUCUGCUGUUUUUCUGAAUUGGCGUAAAAUAAUGUUUCCUGGCUACGUGAUGUCACUCUUCUUUCGUAUAGGACAUACAGAGGCUUCUUUCAGAGACGCCACAGGUUACAUUCUGUGGCUGGCUAUUAUUUCCUAUCAUAAGUAAAAAUAUGCCCCAAAUCUUAGUUAAAAGGGUAAACUACUUUCUGAUAGCAUGUUUUAAUGCAAUCUCUCAUCUUUUGUGGCUCAUUUUCUAAAUUUAUGUGACGGUCUCAGAAGGUCUCCUUGCUAUACUCACACCUUACUAGUUCUUUCAUGUGUUAAUUAGAUCUGUUAGGAUUUUUCUAAAUCCCUAAAACCAUUUAAAGAUGCUACUGAAGACUGGUCAAUAAUUCAGCUCUGGGUUUUUUAAAUUACUUUCUCAGCUCUGCAAUUUAGAGUCAAAUGAAAUUCGUUAGCACCUGUAAACUGUGUAGUUGCUUUAUCAGUGACGUGGGAUUCAGUUGGUGAACUUUGGGAGACAAACAAUAAAAUAUUGGACUGAGGGAAAUUCUCCUCUCCCCAACUUAUUUUAUAUAUUGAGUGGUAACCCCAUGCUUCUCAAUAAGCAAAAAACCCCCACCAUAUGUAAAGUGGGCUUUGGAAAUGCUAAUACAAGGAUUGAUUAAUAAGUAACCUCAUUAAUUAAAUUGAUAAACUUGAGAAUGGGUUCAAGAAGGUGAGGAAAAAGAAAUGUGUUUUAAAGAAAUUAGAUGCAUGCCAAAGAUGGAAAAUAGAUUGAAAAGGCUUGAACCUGAAGAGCAACCACUGCAGGAAAUUUAUCUCAAACAAGAACGGCCAAGCAAGCUUAAUUUCAACUUGUGGAACUUUCUCUUUUCACUUAUGUAAUAUCAUUUUCCAUUAUACUCUACUGGAAUUGUAGAAUGCAGAGCUCUUCUCCACUAUCUAAACAAAGUCAAAUAAAUAGAUUGAAUAAUAGUACCACAAAGUAGUGAUUUGUAUAAUUAAAGAAAGAAAAAGCCACUGGUGAAGAUCACUCCAACAGGGAAAGAAUAAAGUCCUAUGAAGCAG
ensembl:lncRNA